rnacentral:rRNA from 1 species
CAAUAGCGUAUAUUAAAGUUGUUGCAGUUAAAAAGCUCGUAGUUGGAUUUCUGGGAGGGUGCCGCCGUCCGGCGUGUCCGUGUGCAGUGGCGCCCUUCCAUCCUUCUGUUAGCGUCUCUUGGCAUUCAUUUGCUGGUGGCGGGCUCAGAUAUUUUACCUUGAGAAAAUUAGAGUGUUUCAGGCAGGCUAGGCCGGAAUACAUUAGCAUGGAAUAAUGGAAUAGGACUACGGUCUCUUUGUUGGUUUGAGGGACUGCAGUAAUGAUUAAUAGGGAUAGUUGGGGGCAUUAGUAUUUAAUUGUCAGAGGUGGAAUUCUCAGAUUUGCUAAAGACUAACUUAUGCGAAAGCAUUUGCCAAGGAUGUUUUCAUUAA